GACGAACGCUGGCGGCGUGCUUAACACAUGCAAGUCGAACGGAAAGGCCCUGCUUUUGUGGGGUGCUCGAGUGGCGAACGGGUGAGUAACACGUGAGUAACCUGCCCUUGACUUUGGGAUAACUUCAGGAAGCUGGGGCUAAUACCGGAUAGGAGCUCCUGCUGCAUGGUGGGGGUUGGAAAGUUUCGGCGGUUGGGGAUGGACUCGCGGCUUAUCAGCUUGUUGGUGGGGUAGUGGCUUACCAAGGCUUUGACGGGUAGCCGGCCUGAGAGGGUGACCGGCCACAUUGGGACUGAGAUACGGCCCAGACUCCUACGGGAGGCAGCAGUGGGGAAUAUUGCACAAUGGGCGGAAGCCUGAUGCAGCAACGCCGCGUGCGGGAUGACGGCCUUCGGGUUGUAAACCGCUUUCGCCUGUGACGAAGCGUGAGUGACGGUAAUGGGUAAAGAAGCACCGGCUAACUUCGUG
rnacentral:rRNA from 1 species